rnacentral:snRNA from 9 species
AUACUUACGUGGCGCAGAGAUAUCGUGAUCAUGCAGGCGGUUCCCUCAGGAUGAGGCUGCUCCAUUGCACUGCGGAGUGGUUGGUGGUUGACCCUUGCGAUUAUUCUUAUUUUUUAUAAGUUUCACUUCUACCGUGUGUGACAAGCACACA